CUUACCUGGUCUUGACAUCCACAGAACUUUCCAGAGAUGGAUUGGUGCCUUCGGGAACUGUGAGACAGGUGCUGCAUGGCUGUCGUCAGCUCGUGUUGUGAAAUGUUGGGUUAAGUCCCGCAACGAGCGCAACCCUUAUCCUUUGUUGCCAGCGGUUCGGCCGGGAACUCAAAGGAGACUGCCAGUGAUAAACUGGAGGAAGGUGGGGAUGACGUCAAGUCAUCAUGGCCCUUACGACCAGGGCUACACACGUGCUACAAUGGCAUAUACAAAGAGAAGCGACCUCGCGAGAGCAAGCGGACCUCAUAAAGUAUGUCGUAGUCCGGAUUGGAGUCUGCAACUCGACUCCAUGAAGUCGGAAUCGCUAGUAAUCGUAGAUCAGAAUGUAUACGGGAAUACGACGU
rnacentral:rRNA from 1 species